rnacentral:rRNA from 1 species
UAUAACCUUUUGGUUAUAAAUAAUUGUUAGUGGCAGACGGGUGAGUAAUGCGUAGGAAUCUACCUAGUAGUAUGGAAUAGCCAUUAGAAAUGAUGGGUAAUACUGUAUAAUCCCUGCGGGGGAAAGAUUUAUCGCUAUUAGAUGAGCCUACGUUAGAUUAGCUAGUUGGUAAGGUAAUGGCUUACCAAGGCUAUGAUCUAUAGCUGGUCUGAGAGGACGAUCAGCCACACUGGAACUGAGAUACGGUCCAGACUCCUACGGGAGGCAGCAGUGGGGAAUAUUGGACAAUGGGCGAAAGCCUGAUCCAGCUAUGCCGCGUGAGUGAAGAAGGCCUUCGGGUUGUAAAACUCUUUCAAUAGGGAAGAUAAUGACGGUACCUAUAGAAGAAGUCCCGGCAAAGUC